AGUCGAGCGGAGACAGUGAGUAGCUUGCUAUGAGCUGUUUUAGCGGCGGACGGAUGAGUAACGCGUGAGCAACCUUUCCCAGACAGGGGAAUAACACACCGAAAGGUGUACUAAUACCGCAUAAGACCACGGGAUCACAUGGUUCUGAGGUAAAAGAUUUAUCGGUUUGGGGUGGGCUCGCGUCCGAUUAGGUAGUUGGUGAGGUAACGGCCCACCAAGCCGACGAUCGGUAGCCGACCUGAGAGGGUGAUCGGCCACAUUGGGACUGAGACACGGCCCAAACUCCUACGGGAGGCAGCAGUGGGGAAUAUUGGGCAAUGGAGGAAACUCUGACCCAGCAACGCCGCGUGGAGGAAGAAGGUUUUCGGAUCGUAAACUCCUGUCCUUGGAGACGAGUAGAAGACGGUAUCCAAGGAGGAAGCCCCGGCUAACUACGUGCCAGCAGCCGCGGUAAUACGUAGGGGGCAAGCGUUGUCCGGAAUAAUUGGGCGUAAAGGGCGCGUAGGCGGCUCGGUAAGUCUGGAGUGAAAGUCCUGCUUUUAAGGUGGGAAUUGCUUUGGAUACUGUCGGGCUUGAGUGCAGGAGAGGUUAGUGGAAUUCCCAGUGUAGCGGUGAAAUGCGUAGAGAUUGGGAGGAACACCAGUGGCGAAGGCGACUAACUGGACUGUAACUGACGCUGAGGCGCGAAAGUGUGGGGAGCAAACAGGAUUAGAUACCCUGGUAGUCCACACUGUAAACGAUGAAUGCUAGGUGUAGGGGGUAUCGACCCCUUCUGUGCCGCAGUCAACACAAUAAGCAUUCCGCCUGGGGAGUACGGCCGCAAGGUUGAA
rnacentral:rRNA from 1 species